rnacentral:rRNA from 1 species
AGAGUUUGAUCCUGGCUCAGAUUGAACGCUGGCGGCAUGCCUUACACAUGCAAGUCGAACGGCAGCACGGGAGCUUGCUCCUGGUGGCGAGUGGCGAACGGGUGAGUAAUACAUCGGAACGUACCCAGGAGUGGGGGAUAACGUAGCGAAAGUUACGCUAAUACCGCAUAUUCUGUGAGCAGGAAAGCGGGGGAUCGCAAGACCUCGCGCUCUUGGAGCGGCCGAUGUCGGAUUAGCUAGUUGGUGAGGUAAAAGCUCACCAAGGCGACGAUCCGUAGCAGGUCUGAGAGGAUGAUCUGCCACACUGGGACUGAGACACGGCCCAGACUCCUACGGGAGGCAGCAGUGGGGAAUUUUGGACAAUGGGGGCAACCCUGAUCCAGCCAUGCCGCGUGAGUGAAGAAGGCCUUCGGGUUGUAAAGCUCUUUCGGCGGGGAAGAAAUGGCAACGGCUAAUAUCCGUUGUUGAUGACGGUACCCGCAAAAGAAGCACCGGCUAACUACGUGCCAGCAGCCGCGGUAAUACGUAGGGUGCGAGCGUUAAUCGGAAUUACUGGGCGUAAAGCGUGCGCAGGCGGUUUCGUAAGACAGACGUGAAAUCCCCGGGCUCAACCUGGGAACUGCGUUUGUGACUGCGAGGCUAGAGUACGG